rnacentral:rRNA from 1 species
CCUACGGGAGGCAGCAGUGAGGAAUAUUGGUCAAUGGGCGAGAGCCUGAACCAGCCAAGUCGCGUGAGGGAGUACUGCCCUAUGGGUUGUAAACCUCUUUUGUCGGGGAGCAAAAGCCGGACGUGUCCGUCUGUGAGAGUACCCGAAGAAAAAGCAUCGGCUAACUCCGUGCCAGCAGCCGCGGUAAUACGGAGGAUGCGAGCGUUAUCCGGAUUUAUUGGGUUUAAAGGGUGCGCAGGCGGAUUUUUAAGUCAGCGGUCAAAUCGUGGGGCUCAACCCCAUCCAGCCGUUGAAACUGGGGAUCUAGAGUGUGCGAGAGGUAUGCGGAAUGCGUGGUGUAGCGGUGAAAUGCAUAGAUAUCACGCAGAACCCCGAUUGCGAAGGCAGCAUACCGGUGCACAACUGACGCUCAGGCACGAAAGCGUGGGUAUCGAACAGG